AGUCCCAUUGGCCUGGCCCAGGUCAUGUGCCUAUCUCUGAACCAAUCAUGGAGACCAGGGGAAUGGGAGGUUCUGAUCGGCGGCACCUGGAUCAUGUGACUGCCCUGCGGCAGGAGGAGAGGCCAGUCCAAACGGAGACACGUGACCUGAGGUUGGGGAAUGGAGGUGCCUCAGGGGAGGAUAAGGGCUCUGAGGCUGGAGGGGAGAGGAUGAAUCUCAGGCAUGACAAGCACCUCCACCUAAUAGCAGUCAUGAGGCUUUUGUGAGGAGGCAGAAUUCCAAGUGAGGAAGAAGUGCCGCGGCUGAGUUGUGAGUUUAGGUCACUGCCUCAUUCGCUGCCUGACUAUGGAUGGCUUACCAGGGCUCCCCAAGCCCCGGGCCGUGGACCAGUACCAGUCCAGUGGCCUGCUGGGAACUGCUCCACACAGUGGGAGGAUGGAAACUGAGGUGCAGAGAGUUUGACCCACCCAGCGUCAGCCAGCCAACAGUAGUGGAUUGGGGACUGAAGCCCGGGCAGCCUGGCUGCAGACUCCUUGAGCAGUGUGCUGUGCCACCUGUCUACGUCAAUGGCCCAUUUCCUUGAAAAAUAUCUUGGGAGAGCAGAGACGGUGCCCUUCUAUGGUCCAUCAGAGGCUGCAGGUCACCCGCCAGAAAUGCCAAGCUGAGGAAGGAGCAGGGGAAGCUGUUGAAGCAAAUUGUGCAUAAUUAGGACUGUUGUCUCCUGCUAUGGUCUGAAGAUUCAUAUGUGGAAACCUAAUCCCUACCUUGGGGAUAGUAAGAGGUGGGGCCUUUGGGAGCUGACGAGGUCAUGAGGGCCCCACUGUCAUGAUUGGGAUUAGUGCCCUCAUAAAGGAGGCCCAAGGGAGCUUGUUCACCCCUUCCAACAAGCGAAGAUGAUGCAAGAAGGGGCCACAUGUGAUGCAGAGGGUGGGCCCUCAUGGAAUCUGCUGGCACAUUGACCUUGGACUGCCCAGCCUCCAGAACUGUGAGCGAUAAAUUUCUAUUGCUUAUAAACGACCCACUAAGGCAUUUUGUUGUGGCGUCCUGAAUAGACUAACACAUCUCCCAAGGGAGAGUUCUUCCUUUAAACUUUUGUUUUUUUGGUUUUUUAAAAACAAUAUUUUAAAAUUCAGUUUCUGUAUAGUAUUCCAUUGUAUGAAUCUUGUGUAAUU
rnacentral:lncRNA from 10 species